rnacentral:rRNA from 1 species
GUCGACGAUUACUCCUACGGGAGGCAGCAGUGGGGAAUAUUGGACAAUGGGGGGAACCCUGAUCCAGCCAUGCCGCGUGUGUGAAGAAGGCCUUAUGGUUGUAAAGCACUCUAAGCGAGGAGGAGGCUACUCUAGUUAAUACCUAGGGAUAGUGGACGUUACUCGCAGAAUAAGCACCGGCUAACUCUGUGCCAGCAGCCGCGGUAAUAAUCUCUAGA